rnacentral:rRNA from 1 species
UGAGGAAUCUUCCACAAUGGGCGAAAGCCUGAUGGAGCGACACCGCGUGCGGGAAGAAGGCCUUCGGGUCGUAAACCGCUUUUCUGUGGAAAUACUUCGAAUGUACCACAGGAAUAAGUCACGGCUAAUCACGUGCCAGCAGCCGCGGUAAUACGUGAGUGGCAAGCGUUAUCCGGAAUUACUGGGCGUAAAGCGUCCGCAGGGGGCAUGGUAAGUGCACUGUUAAAUCUACUGGCUCAACUGGUAGGCUGCAGUGUAUACUGCCACGCUCGAGGAAUGUAGAGGUGAGUGGAAUUUCCGGAGUAGGAGUAAUAUCCGUAGAUACCGGAAGGAACACCAAUAGCGAAGGCAGCUCACUGGACAUCUCCUGACCCUCAGGGACGAAAGCGUGGGGAGCGAACCGG